UGUCCAAUAACUCCUAUCCCUAUUUCCCCGUGGUGCCGUCUGGGUACGAGUUACCGUAGGGAAGAUCGGGUAGCCAACCCUGGUGGGACCUUGGUCGUAUGCUGACAGGGAAGG
rnacentral:ribozyme from 1 species